AUCAUGUUAAAUAUAUGGUCUGAAGCCUCCCAAAACCUAUGGGGGACUUUGAAUCGACAAACUACGCAUUGUGUGGAUUAUUUUCAUCAUCAAGCCAAUUUUGGGAACCAAUAUCUAAAGGCAAUGCAUUAUUUAUAAUAAAAGCAUUUUAAAAUAAUUCUAUAUAUAUCGAAAUACAAUACCUAUGGGGGACUCAAACUCCGCAUCAUGUGGAUUAUUUUCAUCAUCAAGCCAAUUUUGGGAACCAAAAUCAAAGGCAAUGCAUUAUUUAUAAUAAAAGCAUUUAUUUUCGUGAUGUAGACUAUGGGAAACAACUUGGUGAACCCACCAUCCUGGAGAAAAUUGAAGGGCUAUUAGUUUAGAGAUCACUGGGGUUCAAAAUUCACAUAUUAUUCUCAGGCAAUGGUUAGCACAAUUUAUGCUAACAUUUGAGAUGGAAAAGGGCGGAUAUGGGCUUCUGACACAGAAGUCAGGGCAAUGGCUACAAUGUUAAAUACACCAAUUUUUACAUAUAUAAAAUAUAAUGAUAAUUUUAUAUGAACCCGAUAUGACCCUUUUUA